ACCAUGUUCACAUUAGAUGAACGAGUUGCC
rnacentral:piRNA from 1 species